rnacentral:rRNA from 1 species
UACGUAGGGUCCGAGCGUUAAUCGGAAUUACUGGGCGUAAAGCGUGCGCAGGCGGUUUUGUAAGCCAGAUGUGAAAGCCCCGGGCUCAACCUGGGAACUGCAUUUGGGACUGCAAGGCUGGAGUACGGCAGAGGGAGGUGGAAUUCCACGUGUAGCAGUGAAAUGCGUAGAUAUUGGGAGGAACACCAGUGGCGAAGGCGGCUCACUGGACCGGAACUGACGCUGAGGCGCGAAAGCGUGGGGAGCAAACAGG